GAUGAAGAACGUAGCGAAAUGCGAUACUUGGUGUGAAUUGCAGAAUCCCGUGAACCAUCGAGUCUUUGAACGCACAUUGCGCCCCUUGGUAUUCCGAGGGGCAUGCCUGUUCGAGCGUCAUUAUAACCCCUCAAGCUCAGCUUGGUGUUGGGGCCUGCUGCACUGGCAGCCCUUAAAAUCAGUGGCGGCGCCAUCUGGCUCUAAGCGUAGUAAUUCUUCUCGCUAUGGAGUCCUGGUGGAUGCUUGCCAUCAACCCCCAAUUUUUCUAUGGUUGACCUCGGAUCAGGUAGGGAUACCCGCUGAACUUAAGCAUAUCAAUAAGCGGAGGA
rnacentral:misc_RNA from 1 species